rnacentral:lncRNA from 13 species
AUGUUUUUAUUUUAUAUUUUUUUUAGAGUUUCUUGGUUUUGUUGCCUGCUAAUUGGCGGGAUAACCUGUUCUACAUCAAGCUCACCUAGGUCUAAAGGAUAUGGAAAUGACAUCUCUCCAACAGCUCAAUUGCGAGCGCAGCUGACCGAAGAGCAACAGAAACAUCUGGCCUCCAUCCUGCAAAAGCAACUGGCCCCCAUGCCCCAGGCACCUCAGGAAAUGUGGUAUCCAACUCAAAUGCCCCAGCAGGAAAAGCAACUGGCCGCCAUGACCCAACAGGAGACUCUACCGGCCAGUUAUCCUAAGCAGCCUCAAGCAGUGUUGUAUCCAGCUCAAAUGCCCCAGAAGCAACCAGCUACUGAACGUCAGCAUCAGAAGGAACAGGCCAUACCCCAGUUACCUCAGCAAGUGUGGUAUCCAGUUCAAAUUCCCCAGCAGCAAAAGCAACCAGCUACUGGGCCUCAGCAGCAGACGGAACUGACCACCAUGCCCCAGAAGCAACCGGCUCCAAUGGAUAUACCGCAGAAACAACCAACAGCUAUGCCACAGAAAACAUGGUAUCCAGCUCAAAUGCAGCAGAAGCAACUGGCCACCAUUCACCAGCAAGUGUGGCAUCCAGCUCAAUUGCCCCAGGAGCAAAAGCAACCAGCUACUGAACCUCAGCAGCAGAAGGAACCGGCCGCUAUAAGCCAGCAACCUCAGCAAGUGUUGCAUCCAGCUCAAAAGCCGCAGAAGCAGAAGCAACCCUCCACUGAACCUCAGCAGCAGAUUGACCUGACCGCCAUGCCCCAGCCCCAGCAAAUGUGGCAUCCAGCUCAAUUUCCCCAGGAGCAACCAGUCCCUAUGCAUCAACUGCAGAAGGAUCUGACCGCCAUUCCACCACAACUGUGGCAUUCCGCUCAAAUGCCCCAGCUGCAUAAGCAACCGGCUGCCAUGCUUCAGCAAGUGUGGCAACUGGCCCCCAUUCCCCAGCAGCCUCAUGACGUGUGGUAUCCAGCAAAAAUGGUCCAGAAGCAACAAGCCGCUGCAACUCGGCGGCAGAAGGAACUGACCACCAUGCCUCAGCAAGUGUGGUAUCCAGCUCAAAUGCCCCAGGAGCAGAAGCAACCGGCCACCAUAACGAAACAAGAGUUGCAUCCAGUGCACGUUCCCCAGAAGCAACAGGAACCGGCCACCAUACCCCAGCAAGAGUGGCAUCCAGCUCAAAUGCUGCAGACGCAACUGGCCCCAAUGCCUAUCCUGCAGAAACAACCAACAGCUAUACUCCAGCAAGCAUGGUAUCCAGCUCAAAUGUCCCAGCAGCAGAAACUGGCCACCAUGCUGCAGAAGCAACCAGCCCCAAUGCCUCAACUGCAGAAGGAACAGGCCACCCUGCCCCCGCAAGUGUGGCAUCCAGCUCAAAUGCCACAGCAGCAAAAGCAACCAGCUACUGAAACUCGGCAGCAAAUUGAACCGACCGCCAUGCCCCAGCCACCUCAGCAAGUGUGGCAUCCAAAUCAAUUUCCCCAGGAGCAGAAGCAACCAGCCCCUAUGCAUCUACCGCAGAAGGAACUGACUGCCAUACCCCAACAACUGUGGCAAACGGCUCAAAUGCCCCAGCAGCAUAAGCAACCGGCUGCAAUGCUUCAGCAAGUGUGGCAUCUGGCACAGAAGCAACCGGCCCCUAUGCCCCAGCAGCCUCACGGUGUGUGGUAUCCAGCUAAAAUGGUCCAGAAGCAACAAGUCGCUGCACUGACCGCCAUGCCGCAGACGCAUCAGCAAGUGUGGCUUCCAGCCCAAUCUCCCCAGCAGCAGAAGCAACCGGCCUCCACCCCUCUACCGCAGGAGCAGCCGACCGCCGUAUCCCAGCAAGUGUGGUAUCCAGCUCAAAUGUCCCAGCGGAAGCUACACACUGCCAUGCCACAACAGCAACUGACCGUCAUGCCUCAGCAGAAGCACUACCAAAGCACUGAAGAUGGUGCUUCUGGUAGCGCUCAGGCCAGCAUCGUUGAACAGUUGGGUGUCAUCCCAAUCUAUUCCUACAGUUCCAAAUCGCACUACGCGAAGGGCAGAACGAUCUUUUCCCAAAUCAGCUACACUCCUAGGGAGGCUAUUUCUGACAGUGGAAAUGCUCCCAAGGACGGUUAUGUUAGCUUUGGUGCACCAAGCAUAUAUCCACCACUAGUGAAGGAUUCUGCAAGGUAAUGGCUCACUUUAACCUGCUCUGAACUUUGCUCUCUGAAUUUGAAGUCCUUUGUACUAACCAUAUAUCUAUCAACAGGAAAAUGUAAUGGAUUCAUCCUCUAGAAGCUCUAAUGGUGAGUAUUGUUUCUUACAUUGGUUACUUAACAUUCUGUGUUGCUGACACUGCAUUUCUUUCUGCUUUUGUUUUGACCAGGACGUUGCUGGUGCUCUUGCNNNNNNNNNNGGCAUCCAGCUCAAAUGCUGCAGACGCAACUGGCCCCAAUGCCUAUCCUGCAGAAACAACCAACAGCUAUACUCCAGCAAGCAUGGUAUCCAGCUCAAAUGUCCCAGCAGCAGAAACUGGCCACCAUGCUGCAGAAGCAACCAGCCCCAAUGCCUCAACUGCAGAAGGAACAGGCCACCCUGCCCCCGCAAGUGUGGCAUCCAGCUCAAAUGCCACAGCAGCAAAAGCAACCAGCUACUGAAACUCGGCAGCAAAUUGAACCGACCGCCAUGCCCCAGCCACCUCAGCAAGUGUGGCAUCCAAAUCAAUUUCCCCAGGAGCAGAAGCAACCAGCCCCUAUGCAUCUACCGCAGAAGGAACUGACUGCCAUACCCCAACAACUGUGGCAAACGGCUCAAAUGCCCCAGCAGCAUAAGCAACCGGCUGCAAUGCUUCAGCAAGUGUGGCAUCUGGCACAGAAGCAACCGGCCCCUAUGCCCCAGCAGCCUCACGGUGUGUGGUAUCCAGCUAAAAUGGUCCAGAAGCAACAAGUCGCUGCACUGACCGCCAUGCCGCAGACGCAUCAGCAAGUGUGGCUUCCAGCCCAAUCUCCCCAGCAGCAGAAGCAACCGGCCUCCACCCCUCUACCGCAGGAGCAGCCGACCGCCGUAUCCCAGCAAGUGUGGUAUCCAGCUCAAAUGUCCCAGCGGAAGCUACACACUGCCAUGCCACAACAGCAACUGACCGUCAUGCCUCAGCAGAAGCACUACCAAAGCACUGAAGAUGGUGCUUCUGGUAGCGCUCAGGCCAGCAUCGUUGAACAGUUGGGUGUCAUCCCAAUCUAUUCCUACAGUUCCAAAUCGCACUACGCGAAGGGCAGAACGAUCUUUUCCCAAAUCAGCUACACUCCUAGGGAGGCUAUUUCUGACAGUGGAAAUGCUCCCAAGGACGGUUAUGUUAGCUUUGGUGCACCAAGCAUAUAUCCACCACUAGUGAAGGAUUCUGCAAGGUAAUGGCUCACUUUAACCUGCUCUGAACUUUGCUCUCUGAAUUUGAAGUCCUUUGUACUAACCAUAUAUCUAUCAACAGGAAAAUGUAAUGGAUUCAUCCUCUAGAAGCUCUAAUGGUGAGUAUUGUUUCUUACAUUGGUUACUUAACAUUCUGUGUUGCUGACACUGCAUUUCUUUCUGCUUUUGUUUUGACCAGGACGUUGCUGGUGCUCUUGCUGCUCUAGAGUUAUGGAGUACAUCAACAAUUUUACUUUAAAAAAUGCCUUGUCUCUUUGAAACAAUGAUUCUCGUGUCCAUUGCGAAUUGAGAACAGGUGGUGUGCAGUCUUGUAAAAAUGACUGUUCAGUUAAAUCUUUGCUUGUUCAUCUUUUACCUUUGCUACUGGUUGUUCAAAAUAAAAGCUUGUCUACAUUAGAGCAUUUGUGAAGGGGUGAGUUGUUAGACAUUCAUCAUAUGUUCAUACUUUAGAUGUAGUCAUGCAUUGUAUACAGUGAGACUUCACUUCAACCUCAGUGUAAGUUGUUGGUGAGUAAAUUAACAUAUAGGAAAUUGUUUUUAGAUGGUCAGACCAUGGCUCAUUUAGCUAUUAGAAUUGAGUGAACUUCUUGGUUUCAAACUUGCAUUUGGCCUUCUACUAUAGCCCACACCACAAAUGGCAAAGAGUCAAAUCAGUUUAGAAGUGUCUGUCCCAUAUCUAGGUGAUGCUUCAACCCCUGUUGGCACAUCUACCUCCAUGCUUCUGUUUGUAUGGGUUACAACCUUCAGAUGGGUCUUAUAAUUGUGGGGUCAAAGAGGGAAAAGUAACUAUGUUCGGGAGUCAAUUUUACAAAAUGUUCAUAGUUUGUAGGCCAAACCGUUCUGACGCUAGAUGUUUUUGAGACUGCAUUUUGAGGUGUCUGACCAACACAUCUGUAGCUCGGCCCCUGUCCACCGCAGAUGCGUAAGGGCGACAGGCGGAUGCAGUGGAUUGAGACUCAGCCCAUUCUAAAUGUUCUAGCUUCAACUGGAUUUUGAUGGGCCUCAAUACUCUUCACCUGUAUCCCAUUCCUCCUAGUCCAUUUAUUGUACCACAGGUUCCUAUAGAAUGGAUUCGGUGUAUUUGAUUUAUGAUGCCUAGAGCGGUUUAACCUAUCAAAUAACAAAUAUAUUCUGUACAGACUGUCUUCAAACAUGUACAUUUUCUUAACCAGUUAUUAAUCAUACUUCAUAGUAUGAGAAUUCAGCCCUUAAAUGGAUCCAUUAAGUUCCAAAGAGGAAGCUGGUAGGCACUAGCAUGACAGUUUAACUAGCAUAAGAUGUCACCCAGGACUUUUUGUAAACUUGACAUAUUUGCCUGUUGUAGUUGACUAUUUGGACACAGACUCAUGAACACGAAUGAAAUUGUAUAUGCAUUGAAUUUUCUACAAGGAGUUACACUUUGUUGGACGAUCUCUUGUCUAGCGUACCUCAACAUACUUAGUUUAAUUUGUCACGGUAUGGAAUUUUUGGACACAAUCUCAGUGUACAGCCUUUUUGCACAACACAUUUCUUCCCGGACCACUGAGGUUGCACCUGCAAAAGCCUCUGUCAGGAACUUCAUUAGCCUGCAUUAAAAGGUGCACUUGAUUAAGCUCACCCAGUGCAAUGGCUAGUUAGAUUUCCCUCUAUAAAACCAUCGGAUUGGUCCACGAUCCUCUAGACCCAAAUUGCUACAGACGCAAUCUAUCCUGCCUUUCUAAGGUCUUCAAAAGCCAAGUCAACAAACAGAUUACCGACCGUUUCGAAUCCCACCGUACCUUCUCAGCUACGCAAUCAUGGUUUCAAUGUUGGUCAUGGGUGCACCUCAGCCACGCUCAAGGUCCUGAACGAUAUAACCGCCAUCGAUAAGAGAUAUUACUGUGCAGCCGUAUUCAUCGACCUGGCCAAGGCUUUCGACUCUGUCAAUUACCACAUUCUUAGUGGCAGACUCAACAGCCUUGGUUUCUCAAAUGAUUGCCUCGCCUGGUUCACCAACUAUUUCUCUGAUAUAGAGUUCAGUGUGUCAAAUCGGAGGGCCUGUUGUCCGGACCUCUUGCAGUCUCUAUGGGGGUGCCACAGGGUUCAAUUCUCGGGCUGACUCUUCUCUGAUGUCUCUCUCGCUGCUGGUGAUUCUCUGAUCCACCUCUGCAGACGACACCAUUCUGUAUACUUCUGGCCCUUCUUUGGACACUGUUAACUAACCUCCAGAUGAGCUUCAAAGCCAUACAACUCUCCUUCCGUGGCCUCCAACUGCUCUUAAAUGCAAGUAAAACUAAAUGCAUGCUCUUCAACCGAUCACUGCCCACACCUGCCCGCUUGUCCAGCAUCACUACUCUGGAUGGUUCUGACUUAGAAUAUGUGGACAAGUACAAAUACCUAGGUGUCUGGCUAGAAUGUAAAUUCUCCUUCCAGACUCACAUUAAGCAUCUCCAAUCCAAUAUUAAAUCUAGAAUCCGCUUCCUAUUUCGCAAAAAAGCCUCCUUCACUCAUGCUGCCAAACAUACCCUCGUAAAACUGACUAUCCUACCGAUCCUUGACUUUGGUGAUGUCAUCUAUAAAAUAGCCUCCAUCACUCUACUCAACAAAUGUGAUG